ACCUGUAUUGAAAGCAGCAGAUAAGAGCAACACGGUGUAAACCAGGUGCAGCAUUUUGCACAAUAUCUUCAAGGAUCAAUAAUGCAGGAUUCAAUGCAAUGUAAUUUUCCUAAUGCUAGAAUAUGCUGCAAACUGCACUUGUAAUCUGACUCCGAGCGC